GGUGAACGCUGGCGGCGUGGAUUAGGCAUGCAAGUCGGACGGUAGGGCUUUAUCGUAAGAUAGAGUUUGAGAGUGGCGAACGGGUGAGUAACACGUAGCUAACCUACCCUCUGGACGGGGAUAACCUACCGAAAGGUGGGCUAAUACCCGAUGUAGUCAUCCUGUAUAGGGGUGAUGAAAGGUGGGCUUCUGUUUACAAGCUCAUGCUGGAGGAGGGGGCUGCGGCCUAUCAGGUAGUUGGUAGGGUAAUAGCCUACCAAGCCGAUGACGGGUAGCCGGCCUGAGAGGGUGACCGGCCCGAGGGGCACUGAGAUACGGGUCCCACUCCUACGGGAGGCAGCAGGCUAGAAAUUUGGGCAAUGGGGGAAACCCUGACCCAGUGACGCCGCGUGCAGGAAGGAGCCCUUCGGGGUGUAAACUGCUGUCGUGUAGGGAGAAGGGUACUAAGGUGAACAAUCUUAGUACUUGACGGUACUACAGGAGGAAGCCCAGGCUAACCUCGUGCCAGCAGCCGCGGUAAAG
rnacentral:rRNA from 1 species